CCCUUAGAUGAUUUGGGCUGCACGCGCGCUACACUGAUGCAUUCAACGAGUCUAAAACCUGCUCUGAUAGGGGUGGGUAAUCUUUUGAAUGUGCAUCGUGAUUGGGAUAGAUGAUUGCAAUUUUUCAUCUUCAACGAGGAAUGCCUAGUAAACGCAAGUCAUCAGCUUGCAUUGAUUACGUCCCUGCCCUUUGUACACACCGCCCGUCGCUCCUACCGAUUGAAUGAUCCGAUGAAUAUCAUGGAUUGAGGAUGCAAGUAGGUUCGCCUAUCUUCAUCUUCGAGAAGUGAAGUAAAUCUUAUCAUUUAGAGGAAGGAGAAGUCGUAACA
rnacentral:rRNA from 1 species